rnacentral:rRNA from 1 species
GACGAACGCUGGCGGCGUGCUUAACACAUGCAAGUCGAGCGGAGCGGCGAAAGGGAGAAUAACCCGUGAGUAACUGACCCCCUCUCUGGGAAAACAGUUGGAAACGACUGCAAAUAGCGAAUAGUGGGGGGUGACUCGCGUCCAAUCGGCGUGUUGGUCGGGGAGUGGCCUACCAGGGUGACGACGGAUCGCCGGCCUGAGAGGGCGACCGGCCCCAAUGGGCUGAGAUACGGACCAAACGCCAAUGGGAGGCAACGGUCGGAAAUAUGGCACAAUGAGGGAAACCGUGAUGCGGCAACGCCGCGUGCGGAAUGACGGCUUUCGAGUUGUAAACCGCUUUCAGCCAUACUGCGGUAGUGACAGAGGAAGCACCGGCUAACUACGUGCCAGCCGCCGCGGUAAUUC